rnacentral:tRNA from 1 species
AGGACUGUAGUUAAAAAUAAUAUUUGAUUUGCAUUCAAAAGGUAUUGAAAAAUUAUCAAUCUGUCUUA